UACGUAGGGGGCGAGCGUUGUCCGGAAUUACUGGGCGUAAAGCGCACGCAGGCGGUCUGCUAAGUUUGGAGUGACAGUUGGUGGCUUAACUGCCAAAGUGCUUCGAAAACUGACAGACUUGAGGGCUUCAGAGGGACACGGAAUUCCGGGUGGAGUGGUGAAAUGCGUAGAGAUCCGGAGGAACACCAAAGGCGAAGGCAGUGUCCUGGGGAGUACCUGACGCUCAGGUGCGAAAGCCAGGGGAGCGAACGGG
rnacentral:rRNA from 1 species